rnacentral:other from 1 species
AACGCCCUGGCCUGUUUGCCAGCGGGUGAUGUCCCUCUCCCGAUACGCAAACAAACGGGGGCUACCAGUGGAGUUGGUGUGCAUGUCCGCCAGACGGAAAGCCUAAAAACUCCCUGUAGUCACCACCUUGAACUUUCGGGUUCAAGGGCCUACGCCUGCAGCGGCAGGCCGGGGAGUUU